rnacentral:lncRNA from 1 species
CAAGCUCAAAGGAGUAACUUGUCACUGAAGGAGAGGAGCCAAGAAGUCCCAGUGUCUCACACUCAUGUCCUAAGGAAAACAACAACAACAACAACAACAACAAAAGAUCUCUUAACUAUGUCUGAAAAGUGAUGCCUGAUGCUGCCUUAUUCAAGACCCAGUAACACACCACAGUCUUGUCAAGUCUAGAGCUUCGAGGUGUGAUUGCAUUAUGUGCCCAGGAAGAUGAAACUGGACUGAUGACUGCUGUCUGCCAAAGCCAUUAAACCUCCUUUUAUUGUACCACAAACCCAAAGACAUUGGAAUUGUGUUAAGCAUGAGGGAAAGUUGAAGCUGACAAGGACUGAAUCUGCAGGUAGCAAACAAGUGUUUCUCUCGGAAACUCAAAGUGACCUGGUGAUGUGAACGCAGCCCAGGAGUCAGCCACAUGCUAUUGUCUUCAAGCUGGAGUUCCAAUGCAUGUGAGCACAUCAGCACCUGUCCCUAGACCUCAGUUCAUGCAUUUUAUGCUGAAAAUAAGGAAUUCAUCAAUUUCCCAUUUUGAAGAGAGGUUGGGAAAUUGCUCCAGGAAUCUUCUGGGAUGUUGCUGGUGACUGAGAAAGGACUGGGACAGGACCUCAGCUGGGCUUGUUGACCUCUACAACAGUCCUCACUCCAUAUCCUCCGACACCCUGGGUGAAAAUUCAAUAUUCUAGCUUAUUAGGAACAGAUUUCCCCUUUCUGUACUUACUUCUCCUCAAUUUCAAAGCCUUAAAAGAAGAAACAUAUAAGCAUAUAAUAUAUUUGUGUUCAUAAUGGUGUGUAAUUUUUUUUUCAUUUCAUCCUUGGCUACUAAGCUUUUGUAAGGUAUUUUUAAAUGACUUAAUUUAAUUAAUAUGUUUUUUGAGCAUAUACUUUCUGUCAGGCAUUAUUUUGGGAAUGAAGAGUACAGAAAUAAGUAACUGAAAAAAUGUGUUUGAGGAACUGAAACUAUUUCAUUUUUGUUUAUUUAACUUUUAAAUUCAGGAAAUAGUUAUUCAUUAAUUAAAAAAGAUUCAUGGGGGCGGUCUAUAUAUGGAUAGGUACUAUUUUUACAGAACUGGUCAAGGGAGACACUUAAAAAAAUAGAUGCCUCUAUUAUGUUCUACAGGAAAUGUUUCUAUGAAGGAAAAUAAAAGUAAAUGGUGUUGCAAGCUAAUUGGAGUUAAUGAGUGUCCUUUGACUUAAUGGUGCUGGCCUGGAAAAGCUCCUCAGGGCAAGCUGUGAAAAGACAUGUAGGAACACAGUGGAUAAGCUAAAAUAAGAAAGACAGUCAUAAGGGCUGGACAUUCA